rnacentral:rRNA from 1 species
UACGGAGGGGGUUAGCGUUGUUCGGAAUUACUGGGCGUAAAGCGCGCGUAGGCGGAUUGGAAAGUUGGGGGUGAAAUCCCAGGGCUCAACCCUGGAACUGCCUCCAAAACUAUCAGUCUAGAGUUCGAGAGAGGUGAGUGGAACUCCGAGUGUAGAGGUGAAAUUCGUAGAUAUUCGGAAGAACACCAGUGGCGAAGGCGGCUCACUGGCUCGAUACUGACGCUGAGGUGCGAAAGUGUGGGGAGCAAAC